rnacentral:rRNA from 1 species
GACGAACGCUGGCGGCGUGCUUAACACAUGCAAGUCGAACGAUGAUGCCCAGCUUGCUGGGUGGAUUAGUGGCGAACGGGUGAGUAACACGUGAGUAACCUGCCCCUGACUCUGGGAUAAGCGUUGGAAACGACGUCUAAUACUGGAUAUGACUGCCGGCCGCAUGGUCUGGUGGUGGAAAGAUUUUUUGGUUGGGGAUGGACUCGCGGCCUAUCAGCUUGGUGGUGAGGUAAUGGCCCACCAAGGCGACGACGGGUAGCCGGCCUGAGAGGGUGCCCGGCCACCCUGGGACUGGGACACGGCCCAGACUCCUACGGGAGGCAGCAGUGGGGAAUAUUGCACAAUGGGCGAAAGCCUGAUGCAGCAACGCCGCGUGAGGGAUGACGGCCUUCGGGUUGUAAACCUCUUUUAGUAGGGAAGAAGCGAAAGUGACGGUACCUGCAGAAGAAGCGCCGGCUAACUACGUGCCAGCCGCCGCCGUAA